GCCAGCAUGGGUAAGUGGUUUGAGUGCUGGACUAUGACUCUGGAGACCAGGGUUCAAUUCCCCGCUUGGCC